AUUGAACGCUGGCGGCAGGCUUAACACAUGCAAGUCGAACGAGUGGCGGACGGGUGAGUAAUGCUUGGGAAUCUAGCUUAUGGAGGGGGAUAACUACGGGAAACUGUAGCUAAUACCGCGUAUCAUAGGAUGAGCACAAGUGGGAUUAGGUAGUUGGUGAGGUAAAGGCUCACCAAGCCGACGAUCUCUAGCUGGUCUGAGAGGAUGACCAGCCACACUGGGCCUUAGCCACGGCCCAGCCUCCGUCGGGAGGCCGCAGUGGGGAGUAUUGCACAAGGGGGGCAACCUGACCGAGCCAUGCCGCGUGAAUGAAGAAGGCCUUCGGUUUGUAAAGUUCUUUCGGUAGCGAGGCGUUAACUACAGAAGAAGCUCCGGCUAACUCCGUGCCAGCGGCCGCGGUAAUUC
rnacentral:rRNA from 1 species